CGUCGGCUGUUCCCCUGUGUUGUGUUGAUUUCCAGAGGAAAAGAAGACUUUGGAUUAACUGCCUCUUACACACAUAUUCUGCCCGUUUCACUCCUGUAUCCAACACUCACAGAAGGCGACCUCUGAAUCAGUCGAUGGUAAAGAUCUAACAAUGUUUAGCUUUGAGGGAGUUUUCAAGACAAGACCCAAUGUUUCACUUGGAGGAGCGAGUAAAAAGGAGGAGAAAUCGUCUCUGCUGCACCGCACGCAAGAAGAAAGAAGGAAAAGAGAGGAUGAAAGAAAGCGACUGAAGAAUGCUAUUAUUAUUCAGUCCUACAUACGUGGCUACCAUGACUUGAAACGACAG